rnacentral:misc_RNA from 1 species
UCGUAACAAGGUUUCCGUAGGUGAACCUGCGGAAGGAUCAUUACCGAGUGCGGGCCCGCUCUGGGCCCAACCUCCCACCCGUGUCUCUUGCGUACUUUGUUGCUUUGGCGGGCCCACUGGGUCACUCCGGUCGCCGGGGAGCGCUAUGCUCCCGGGCCCGUGCCCGCCAGAGCACCCCUGUGAACCCUGAUGAAGAGAGGCUGUCUGAGUCCCACGAUAAUCGUUAAAACUUUCAACAAUGGAUCUCUUGGUUCCGGCAUCGAUGAAGAACGCAGCGAAAUGCGAUAAGUAAUGUGAAUUGCAGAAUUCCGUGAAUCAUCGAAUCUUUGAACGCACAUUGCGCCCCCUGGCAUUCCGGGGGGCAUGCCUGUCCGAGCGUCAUUUCUGCCCUCAAGCGCGGCUUGUGUGUUGGGCGUGGUCCCCCUGGCUUUGGCGGGGACCUGCCCGAAAGGCAGCGGCGACGUCCCGCCUAGUCCUCGAGCGUAUGGGGCUCUGUCACGCGCUCGGGAGGGACUGGUGGGCGUUGGUCACCCCUUAUUCUUUCUACGGUUGACCUCGGAUCAGGUAGGAGUUACCCGCUGAACUUAAGCAUAUCA